CUUAAGCAUAUCAAUAAGCGGAGGAAAAGAAACCAACCGGGAUUGCCUCAGUAACGGCGAGUGAAGCGGCAAGAGCUCAAAUUUGAAAUCUGGCCCCUUUGGGGUCCGAGUUGUAAUUUGCAGAGGAUGCUUCGGGUGCGGUCCCCGUCUAAGUGCCCUGGAACGGGCCGUCAUAGAGGGUGAGAAUCCCGUCUGGGAUGGGCGGCCGCGCCCGUGUGAAGCUCCUUCGACGAGUCGAGUUGUUUGGGAAUGCAGCUCUAAGCGGGUGGUAAAUUUCAUCUAAAGCUAAAUACUGGCCGGAGACCGAUAGCGCACAAGUAGAGUGAUCGAAAGAUGAAAAGCACUUUGAAAAGAGAGUUAAACAGCACGUGAAAUUGUUGAAAGGGAAGCGUUGUCCACCAGACUCGCCCGGGGGGGUUCAGCCGGCACGUGUGCCGGUGUACUCCUCUCCGGGCGGGCCAGCAUCGGUUUGGGCGGCUGGUGAAAGGCCCCGGGAAUGUAACACCCUCCGGGGUGCCUUAUAGCCCGGGGUGCCAUACAGCCAGCCUGGACCGAGGCCCGCGCUUCGGCGAGGAUGCUGGCGUAAUGGUGGUCAACGGCCCGUCUUGAAACACGGACCAAGGAGUCUAACAUCUAUGCGAGUGUUCGGGUGUCAAACCCGUCCGCGCAGUGAAAGCGAACGGAGGUGGGAGCCUUUCGGGGCGCACCAUCGACCGAUCCUGAUGUCUUCGGAUGGAUUUGAGUAAGAGCAUAGCUGUUGGGACCCGAAAGAUGGUGAACUAUGCCUGAAUAGGGCGAAGCCAGAGGAAACUCUGGUGGAGGCUCGCAGCGGUUCUGACGUGCAAAUCGAUCGUCAAAUUUGGGUAU
rnacentral:rRNA from 1 species